CGACUAUUUCUUGAGUUUUACACACUCAAGGGAGAGUGUUGUGAAUAGUAUUUACUUAUGAAUAUGAUUGUGUAAAUUAGAAGUAGGAUUAAGUAAGGUUCAUUGGACAAUACCCAUGUACUUAUCGUAUUCUUUGUAGGCGUAAGUCAUGGGGUGGGCAGAGGAAAAAUCGGCACAACAGAUUUGAACUCUCCUAAACCUUAAUUAGGUUGGUAUAAAUGAAGGCACUACGUAGUGAAAAAACACACAUUAAAAAUUCUAUGAUCCCCCUUUCUCUCUCUUUGCGGCACUGGCCAUCAAACCCCUUCUCUCUAAAUUUUUUCUACACCAAAUGAUCAUACUAAUAUGCCAUUAUAAAUUAUAUUAUAUACACUAACACCAAGUUUUGGGUUUCCGUAGCUUAGGAACAGUGUUUCCGAUUUUUCCCCGCUUAGUUUCUGUUAUUCCAGGUUUGCUUCGGUUUGCCUUGUAAAAUGUAGCAUGAUUCUUUGACACGUGGGAUCGCAUUCUCUUGACCUCUUGACCAAUUCUCAGAGAGGUCCUAUUUCUUUGGGUUGGUCUGGCUACCUUCGACGACUCCUACUCCCCUUUUUCCGUCCUCAUCUCAUCUGUCGAAUCCUCUUUGAUUGCCUCUCCAACUCGACCUCCCCCUUCGCGAAUUUCCCCCCUCUCGACCUCGCCCCUCUCCUUCGCCGCAGCCGCAUCAAAGUAUUAGGUAAAUACAGAAGGGCACUUGAAACCGAAAAAACCAAAAUCGAAGCAUGGACUAAGCGGAUCGCACCGAACGAUUUGGUUUUGAAAUAAUCAAAUGGUUUGGUUCCAGUUCGGUUUUACUCCAAAACUGCAUCGAACCGAACCAAAAUAAAUUUUGGUUUUGAUUUCAGUUUUACCCCAAAACCGUACCGAACAAACUGCUCCCACCUGUUUAGAUAAUUGUAGAAUUUUAUUACAUAAGUACUACGAUCUGUGCCGGCCCCUUUUUCUUCAUGAUUCAUUCGUGUCUGAAAAUGCAAGGAGGGGAAAAAAGUACUUUUUCAGGUUCACGAGUGAACACUCUGCAAUUAAAUGCAGAAAUUGUUGGGUCUAAAUAAGAAGAAAAAGGAGAGAGCAGUACCAACCUACUAAUAGCAGCACGAAAUUGGCUUUGGGUAAGUUUCCACUCUCUUCUAUGUAUGAUCUCUUUGAGAAAUGAUUUUGGUUGGUGGUUUUGGAAGAGAUGAUGUCAAAUUCAUAUCUGAACUAAGAAAAUAAUAUGCAUGGAUAAUGAAGUGAAAUUUUUCAUGGUAUUAUCAACAUGCAUAUUAUAAAUAACUUUUUAUUUUAAAUUUCUGGUUUUUUUUUUAUGUGAAUUCAUGACUUGAUAACAAAUAUCUUUGGCAGCAGCAAAGUAUUGUUGAACAUAGUAUGCAUGUUAUAACUUAAGGAAAUGAAUAACCCACAAGCACGAUGAUCUAUGCACUUUCACUUGGUAAAAAAAAUUUAACACUCUUGCAAGGCAGGCAGCAGCAAGUUGUUGCACAUAGUAUGAAUAGCACAUCCAAUACAGCUAAAGGUAUGUAACACUGUGCAUAACCUAUAAGUAACACAGGAUACGUUAAAUGACUCGAUAACCUAGAAGAAAUCAACGAAAUGUUAGAUGACUGAAACGCAGUACAUAUUGACAUUAUCCACCUGUACAGUUUAGGAGUAUCUGAAGUGUUGGAACCUAAACUCUCUCUGGAGUCAUCAAGGAUCGAAGGCAGCAAGGAGUUUCCCAAGCAUGGUUGCUGUCUGCAUCGAAGAAGAAAGAAGAAGAAAUAAUAUGCACGGAUAAUGAAGUGAAACUAGUAUUUAAACUGUUUUAUGUGUGAAAGGGGCCUUUAAAUCUUAGCAUUGUCAAUGUGCUUGCUUCAUUUUGUUGUCUUAUUCGUAUAUAUAUACAUACUACAGUACAAAAUAGAUCUAUAUAAACUGUUUGAUGUAUGGAAGAGGCCUUUAAAUCUUAGCGUUGUCACUUGUCAUCGUGCCUGCUUCAGUUUGUUGUCUUGUUCAUAUAUACAUAAUACAGUACAAAAUAGAUCUAUAUAUAAAAUUUUUGAUUAAGCUA